rnacentral:rRNA from 1 species
UACGUAGGGGGCUAGCGUUGUCCGGAAUCAUUGGGCGUAAAGAGCGUGUAGGCGGCUCGGUAAGUCCGCUGUAAAAGUCAAAGGCUCAACCUUUGAAUGUCAGUGGAUACUGCUGGGCUAGAGUCCGGAAGAGGCGAGUGGAACUCCUGGUGUAGCGGUGGAAUGCGCAGAUAUCAGGAAGAACACCAACGGCGAAGGCAGCUCGCUGGGACGGUACUGACGCUGAGACGCGAAAGCGUGGGGAGCGAACAGG